rnacentral:rRNA from 2 species
UACCUAAUAGCUAGCCACACCAACUAAACACAACAAAACUACAUAAAUACCCCCUAACCACCCCACCCCACCCACCUUAAACAAACCAUUUUUCCCCCCUAGUAUGGGCGACAGAAAAGGACCUUAGUGAGCAAUAGAAAAAGUACCGCAAGGGAAAGCUGAAAGAGAUAUGAAAAAGCCCAGUGAAGUUUAGAAAAGCAGAGAUUAAACUCGUACCUUUUGCAUCAUGUUUUAGCCAGUAACACCCAAGCAAAGAGCCCUUUAGUUUGGACCCCCGAAACUAAGCGAGCUACUCCAAGACAGCCUAUUUAAAGGGCACACCCGUCUCUGUGGCAAAAGAGUGGGAAGAGCUUUGAGUAGAGGUGACAGACCUACCGAGCUUAGUUAUAGCUGGUUCCCUGGGAAAUGGAUAGGAGUUCAGCCUUCUAAGUUCUUCACUCCAACCCUUAAAUUAAGGUGAAAAGAAGUCAGAAGAGUUAAUCAAGGGGGGUACAGCCCCCUUGAAAAAAGAUACAACUUUAGCAGAAGGAUAAAGAUCAUACGAAAUUUAAAGGAAAGUCCUCUUGGUGGGCCUAAAAGCAGCCACCCCGACAGAAAGCGUUAAAGCUCAAAUACGGAGCACCCUAUAUAUUCUGACAACAUAAUCUUAAUCCUCUAAAACUACCAGGAAGCCCUAUGCGAUCAUAGGAAUUAUACUGCUAAUAUGAGUAAUAAGAGAACAUAAGGUUCUCUCCUAGCACAAGUGUAAAUCGGAACGAACCCCCACCGAAAAUUGACGGCCCCAAAAGAAGAGGGAACUGAGCAAAAAAUAAAAAACUAGAAAAACACCCAGUAACUAACCGUUAACCUCACACUAGAGUGCUGCCAAGGAAAGACUAAAAGGGGAAGAAGGAACUCGGCAAACACACCCAAGCCUCGCCUGUUUACCAAAAACAUCGCCUCUUGUAAUUAAUAAAUAAGAGGUCCUGCCUGCCCUGUGACAAUUAGUUCAACGGCCGCGGUAUUUUGACCGUGCGAAGGUAGCGCAAUCACUUGUCUUUUAAAUGAAGACCUGUAUGAAUGGCAAAACGAGGGCUUAGCUGUCUCCUCCCCCCAGUCAAUGAAAUUGAUCUCCCCGUGAAGAAGCGGGGAUACUUACAUAAGACGAGAAGACCCUAUGGAGCUUUAGACACCAAGGCAGAUCACGUUAAAACCCCCGAACAAAGGAAUAAACAAGAUGAAAGCUACCCUAUGUCUUUGGUUGGGGCGACCGCGGGGCAAAAAGUACCCCCCAUGUGGAAAGGGAACACCCUUCCUAUCACCCAGAGCUACCGCUCUAAUUAUCAGAAUAUCUGACCAAAAGAUCCGGCUAAAGCCGAUCAACGGACCGAGUUACCCUAGGGAUAACAGCGCAAUCCCCUUCUAGAGACCCUAUCGACAAGGGAGUUUACGACCUCGAUGUUGGAUCAGGACAUCCUAAUGGUGCAGCUGCUAUUAAGGGUUCGUUUGUUCAACGAUUAAAGUCCUACGUGAUCUGAGUUCAGACCGGAGUAAUCCAGGUCAGUUUCUAUCUAUGACAUGAUCUUUUCUAGUACGCAAGGACCGAAAAGAAGAGGCCCCUGUAAUAUACACGCCCCUCCCUCACCUAAUGAAAUCAACUAAAUUAGACAAGAGGACAUACCUGUUCCAGCCAAAGAAAAUGGCAU